ACCAUCUCACGCAAUGUGGCGCUUGUC
rnacentral:piRNA from 1 species